GGGGGUGUAGCUCAGCUGGCAGAGCGGCCGCCUUUUAAGCGGAUGCGCGAGGGUUCGAGACCCUCCACCCCCA
rnacentral:tRNA from 1 species